rnacentral:tRNA from 1 species
GAGAAUAUAGCUCAGUUGGUAGAGCAUCUCACUUUUAAUGAGAGGGUCGAUGGUUCGAAUCCAUCUAUUCUCA